rnacentral:lncRNA from 1 species
GUUACGUUCACUUAUUUAUUGAUGUUGUUAGUAUCUGAGCAGGACCAUAGAUAGAGUUAGUAAAAGGUUGAUUAUAGGUUAUUAACAGGUCACCUCUAUGUAUCGUUGGUUAGGGUUAGAAUCAGUAAUAGGUUGAUAAUAGGUUAUUAACAGGUUACCUCUAUGUACCGUUGGUUAGGGUUAGGGUCAGUAAUAGGUUGAUAAUAGGUUAUUAACAGGUUACCUCUAUGUAUCGUUGGUUAGGGUUAGGGUUAGUAAAAGGUUAUUAACAGGUCACCUCUAUGUAUCGUUGGUUAGGGUUAGGGUUAGUAAUAGGUUAUUAACAGGUCACCUCUAUGUAUCGUUGGUUAGGGUUAGGGUUAGUAAUAGGUUGAUAAAUGGUUAUUAACAGGUUACCUCUAUGUAUCGUUGGUUAGGGUUAGGGUCAGUAAUAGGUUAUUAACAGGUUACCUCUAUGUACCGUUGGUUAGGGUUAGUAAUAGGUUGAUAAUAGGUUAUUAACAGACGACCUCUAUGUAUCUGUUGCCCAUGUGGU